CCCGGUGUGGUUUAGUGGUUAUAAUUCACCUUGUCAUCCAUAGACGGAAACCGUCUAUGGGUGUAGAUAGGUGAGACGUAGGUUCGGAUCCUGCCGUCGAGC